GGCACCUCCCCACACCCAUCCCUGGGGACCCUCUGGAUGGAGGCAGGUGAAGGCGGAGGGUUGGGGAGGGCCAGCACAAAGGCAGCGCUUGGCACAGCUGUGCCUGCUGGGCAGCAGAAGGGGCUGUUUUCCAGUCUGCCUCUCCUCGGGCUACAGUACGAACACUUGCUCCCAGGGUUUCUGGUGCUGGGAAGAGACCCCAUGACCACAACGACUCUCAUAAAGGAAAACAUUUAACUGGGGCUGUCUUACACGAAGGAGGUUCAAUCCAUUAUUGUCAUGGUGGAAAGUGGCGGUGUGCAGGCAGACUUGGUGCUGGAGAAAGAACUGAGAGGUCUACAUCUUGAUCCACAGACAGCAGAAGGAGACUGUGUUUCACACCGGGUAUAGCUUGAGCAUAGGGGACCUCAAAGUCCGCCCCCGCAGUGACCCACUUCUUCCAACAAGGCCACACCUCCUAAUGGUGCCACUCGCCAUGGGCCAAGCACGUGAAUGUAUGGGGGCCAUUCCUAUUCAAACCACCACACCAGGUCAGUCCUUCUGUACCAACUGUUCUUAACCAUGUAGGUGCAUUGCUAGAACGAGUUUAAGGAACGCCUGCCAUCCUGUUCCUACUCCAGCCCUGUGUCAGGAGUACAGAGGCCUUCCAAAGAGAGAAACCAAGUUCCUGUUUGAAAGCCCCAGGGAAAAAGAGCACUGGUCUUCCCUUAAUGGGACAUUUCGUUGUCUGAAGGCUCAUGGACCUGAGCUUUCCUUGUGGUCGGAAGUGGAUGGUGCCUUGUCUGGAGGGGCUCCUGCCUAACAGAGAAGCCAAGCCUGACCUUGAUCCGUGGAAUUCUGUGUCUUACGUGGCUGCAUCUUUGAUGCGUGACUAAGAAGUGUAGCCAAGGUGAUUGUGCUGAGCUUAUCAAAGCGCACUGGCUGCUGUUUCCCCAACUAUUUCUUCAUUCUCUUGCUGGUGCCACGAUGCUGACCCUGGGGAGCCAGAGACAUUUCCUGUGAAAUACGGAUCAACACUGCAUCGUUCUGGUCAGCCCAUGGCCAGAUGGGAAAUAGGCAAAGUUCAUUAGUGGAAUCCCCACCCGCUUGCUGGGUUUUUCUUCUAUAGGUUUCCCGGCUCGCCCACAAGGUAUUUACUGUUCUCCAGUGCCAGGAAAACAAAAUAAACUACUUUAUACUAGAGUGUCGCUGAUUCCCUGUGAGUUCUACCCCAAGGACAUUCGAAUUCUAUGUCUGUCUGGAUUCAAUCAAGAAGGACUAACUACACUGUACUUUGAACAGGCAACAUGCAAUACAAAAAAAAUUAUUCACCACAAUACGGGAUUAAGUCAGCAAAGAAAUGGCUAAUAAGAAGUAAAGAGAAGCCUAAAGGAUAAAAGAAUGGCAGACGGAAGGAAAGACCCUGAAGGAUGAGAACGUGUGAGGGCCAAGCUCAGACCUUGUUGAAAGGGGCAUGGCCUUGGCACAAGAUGGCAGAACAACUCUUGGGACGCUACAAUGGAGACACAUACCAGAACUCUGUUCUAUGGGCUAACAGAAAAAUUCUGGUGAGCUAGGUCACCUCAGGCACUCUACUGUACAGCUUGAGGUAAGGGAGCUGGUCUCAAGCACCACUGGUCACUGUGCGUCCUGGGACCGGGGGCUUGAAGCAGCUGGUGCUACAGGAGCCGGAGAACUGUGGAUGUGGCCAGUAUAAGGGCACCAGGGUAGCAGAUCCCACCUCCUCACUGUCUUUCCAAUGCCUUCCACUGAAAAGCUUAAUGCUGUACUCUCUGCAAAGGAAAAACAUUCAAAGGACACAGCUCCAGUUUUGAAGAGUUUUCAAUGAAGGAUGUGUGGAGCCGAGAGGCAAUGAGUUGACAAUUAGCACAUAUUUUAAAAGACGGAGGCCAAGGUAAUGGUGGAUAAGGAUGCUGUGCAAGUUUGAGGGCCCGAGUUCGAAUCCCGUCACUCAUGUAAAAAAAAAACAAAAAAACGCCUGCUAUGAUCAGUGUGCCUAUAACCCCAGCAUUAUGGGGCAGUGACAGGCAGGUUUCUGGAGCUCUCUGGCUAGAUAGCCUCGCCAGAAUGGCAAGCUUCAGAUCCAGUCAGGAAAUAAGGCAGACGGUGGCAAGAUGUCGGACAUCUUCCUCUGGCCUGUGCAUACAUGCACAUACAAAACUACACACCCAAACUAUUAAAGACAAAAAUGAAUGUGUUCAACAGAAUUUCUAGUAGUAAAGUUCCAAAAUGGGCUAAAGGAGGGCUUAGCCAGAAGUGUGUGUGCAUGUGUGUAUGUGUGUGCGCAUGUGUACAUGCCUGCCUGUGGAGGUGUCAUCCUCUACAAAAACACCGCCCACCACUGUCAGUUAGACAGUGUCUCUUAGAUUGGCUGGCCAGCCCACCCCAAGGAUCCUCUUGUCUCUACCUCCAGUUCAGGGAUUUAAAGGGAAAAAUGGAGUUCUCACAUGAUUUCUGGAGAUUGACCACAGGUCUUCAUGCUUACCAAGCAAGCAUGUCACCAACUUCCUGGAACCUCCUUAUUGGAGACUAUCUAAUGGCCCAUGCAUCAGUGAAGUAGGCAGAAAGGUAAAUUAGGAUUGGGUCAGAUUUCCAAGAUUGAGUCAGGACAAGUCUUAAACUCUCAGUUCCAGUUAAUCCCUAGGCUUAGAUGCUAUUGGGGCCAACUAGAUCCCACAAACUUUAUUUCUGCUUUUAAACAUGGGAAGAAGGGGUUGGGGAUUUAGCUCAGUGGUAGAGUGCUUGCCUAGCAAGUGCAAGGCCCUGGGUUCGGUCCCCAGCUCCGGAAAAAAAGAAAAAAGAAAAAAAAAAACCAACUAAACAUGGGAAGAGACAGCAUUCUCCGGCUACUUUGCUCUGGAGUAUGUAACAAGUUGCAGGUUCUGGAACAUAGCCCCCAAGGCAUCUCUCAGACAUUCAGAGGAAGGUAGUGACUCCCAAGGAGCAUUAGGGGACAGUGGUUCUGCAUGCUGGAAGCCUGAGUCAUAGCCCACAGUAGAGACACUCCGAGAGGUUUCUCAACUCAUGUGCCACAUGGUUAAAUUGUAGUAAGAACUAAGAACUAAGAACCCUGAGAUUUUUGUGACUGAAGCUAUUGCUGUACUAGGAAAAUGAAGAAUUUGAGGAUAAUGUCAGUUUAGACUUAACAGAGAAGCAGGAUCCAUAAUUCCUGGUGCAUGAAGAACUUAAGUCAUACAUUCUUUUUGGUUGUGUGUCUCAGAGUGGGAUUUCACAGGUCGCAGUGAAGAGGACAAAACAUGGCCUCUUGACCACUUUACUGUUAUGUUUUGGAUAUGAAGUGUCCCUCAAUAAACUCAUGCUGAAGCCCUGGUCCCCUGUUGGUGACACUAUGGAGAGGUGACAGGAUCAUGAGGGUAAACUGGAUUAACCCAACUCAGAGUCUAUAUAGCUAAACCUGAAACCACAAUUCUUUGGAGUUGCUUUUAUUUGUUGUGCAUUUUGUAUUUUGUUUCUUUGUUAUUAUUGUCUGUCAGGAACGGGAAGGGGGGCGAUAUUCAUGGGUACCAGUUCCCGGGAUCAAACUACUGCGUGUUAGUUACAAUUACUAUGGCUGCAAUGAAACAUUGUGACCGAAAGCAACUCAGGGAGGAAAGGGCUUCCACAUCCUGAAUCACAGUCCACUGAGGGAAGCCAAGGCAGGAACUCAAUCUAGGCAAGAACCUGAAGGCAGGAGCUGAUGCAGAGACCAUGAGGACUGCUGCUUACGUGGCUUGUCCAGCCUUUGUCUUAUAGAACCCAGGACCAAACAGCCCAAGGUAUCCAUACCCACAAUCUACUGAGCCCUCCCACCUCAAUCACUAAUUAAGAAAAUAUCCUACGAGCUUGCCUACAGCCUGAUCUUACGGAAGCAUUUUCUCAGUUGAGGCUCUCUCCUCCCAGAUGAUUCAAGCUAGUGUAAAGUUGACAUAAAACUAAACUAGCAUAGCGGUCGAGCCACCUCGCUGGCGCUGUCAGGUACUUUUAAUACAGUACAAAAGUCUAAUUAAUACAUCCAAGGAACAAAGCCUCCAUGGGGUGCAACAUCUUGCUUUCCCCUCCUCUUUGGGAUUUGAUUACUGCCACAAAAAGUCUGAAAGUUGUGUGUGGGGGCGGUGUGUGUGUGUGUGUGGGGGAACAGCAUGCACAAGUGAGUCCUAUUGGUUGUAGCCGCCCUGAUCAGGCUCAGCUGCCCCAUGGGGAGGUGCCUCAGGAUCAGCAGGCACCCUUCUCUCUAUCUUCGCAUUCAGUGUCUCCUUCUACAAGUGUUUAGAGAGCACUCAGUAUUUUCUCCAUUUAAAAACACAUACAUCGACAUUAAAUAUGUAUCAAAUACACACAAACAUUGUCCUUCAGACAAACCUCCUAGUAUGGACUCUCUUUGAAUGUGGAAACGCAUUGCACCUGGGCUUCCUUCCAAUCUGUAAAAACAAGCAAGGGAACCUCCAUAGUGUCCUUGGAUUUCAAGGGGUUUUUGUUUGUUUGUUUUGUUUUUAUUUUUUGUUUUUGGUUUUUGUUUUGUUUUGUUUUGUUUUUGGCUCUCAGGCUUUGUACAGAUCAGGGGACCCCUCUAAUAAGACCUCUCAGCUUGGGAGCCCAUGACCUGAUCAAUCUUUGAGAGGUCAGCCUCUGGAGAGAUUUCCAGUCUCUCUGGGGGGACCUUGUGUGUCACAGUGGGAUGGGGUCGGCAGAGAUCUCCUAAGCUCUGUAUCCUGUGAGCCGACACCCUAUGAGUAAAUCACGUUUAACAGCAGCACGGUGAAGCAUAAAGUUUAUGGAGGAUACACAUAAAUUUGGGAAUGGAAAGAGCAGAAUUUCCUGUGCUGACAGGCAGCCAGGCUGGCAUGCGUUUACGCCCCUCACCCCAGUGAUCAGGUGGAGGCCUCCAUAGCAGGGAACUAAAUAGUGUCUGCAGAGGGAGGGGGCACCUGGUACCUGAUGUCUGAAGCCAGACUCCAGGACUGCUUUUCCUAUUGCGCAUUUCAGUUGCUAUAUUGGAGGCAGCUCGGCUCCCUCUAGACCCACACAGACAUCUUCUUUCUAGAGGUUUUGGUGAACCCAGGGUUAGGGGUUGGGGAGGAGAAAGGAAGAGAAUAUUCUUUUAUUCUUUCGCCUUCUAUAAAGUUCUACUUUAUGAUUUUGUUUGGGGACCAAGGACUUUGCUCGAGCAAAGGACUUCUAAAAGAAGUUUGCAUCCUUGGGGGCUUUAAUACUGACAGCAAUACAACCCUGUUCCUGCACGGUCGACUCGUGAUCUGUAUUUUCAGCUUUGUCCUUGUGGUAUCUGUGAAUGGAAGGGACCAUGGAGUCUGUAGGGCCGGGGGCUUCUCAUAAAGACCCAACCCCUAGACUUGCUGGUGACACCUGUAAACCCAUCCAAAGCAUUAUGAAGUGUCCUCUCCAGGAAAGCAGACCCUGGACUAGGGAGCUUGAAGGUGAGGCCAUGGUGUUGGGAUGUAAAAUGGUCUAUCUCUGAUAGAUAAGAUCAUCCCAGAGCUAGCACUGGGGGUCAGGGAGUCUAGAAGCCAGUGAGGAAGAGACAGGCUUGCAGGCCUGGACCUAGUGAGGCACAGAGAAAGUGAACUCUCAUCUGGAACCCAAGGCUGCUGUUCCUCAGUCCUAUAUGGAGGAGGGGGACUGCCAGCAGAGGUGACAGAGUGCAUCCGAGAGCAAUUUAUGACCCAGGAAGAUUUGCACAAAAGCUGAGUGUCUGGAGAGGAACCAGCAUAGGGGAUAGGACAGUGGCGGGUUACCAUUGGUCUGUGCUUGACUUCUGGCUUCCCCAUUUUUGAGCUGUGUAGUCUGAGUAAGUUUUGGGAGCUGUGACAUGGGGUGAUAAGCCUUACCAUGAUAUUGGUAACAGGCCUCACUAUGAGGUCAGGUGAUAGACUUUACCAUAUGCCACUGUUUGGAAGUAGACCUGGCUAAAAAGGUAACAGGUGAUUUAGUGGGAUAUUCCUUUCCUGUCCCAUGCUGUUCCCUGACCCAGAACCUACUGACUGACACAGAGGGCCUGGCUCCCGUCCCAUCACCCAGGCAGUGUGGAGCAGUGGGAAGAUGGACAAGCGGAGAGUCAACACACCCAGCUUCUCACUUCAGCUCUGUUGCAGGGACACAGGUCACACCCAAUCUUCCUGGCUCCAGCUUUGGUAAACUGACAGACAUGAUACUCAGUUUACUAUGUCACACGAGCUCUGUGCUCAGUCAGCUCACAAGCACCUUCUGAUAGGAGACUCUUACCCAUUUUCCAGAUGGGAAAUUGAGGAAGAAAUGUGACAUACAAUGUUUGUAGGCAUUACCUCAUGGUCAAAUUAAUACCCCACGAGAGCAGUAUUCUCUACAAAGAAAGCUGAGGUUCAGAGAAGUUUAUUUAACAUUGCAUUUUUUGUUGUUUUUUUUCUUCCUUCUUUCCUUCCUUUUGAGUCAGGGUUUCUUUAUGUGCAUAGAGAUCCACUUGCUUCUGCCUCCAACUCACUGGGAUCAAAGGUGUGAGUCACCACGCCCAGCUGAAACCCUGUGCAUUUUAGCAUCUAUAAAGUCUCCUAGAGAGCACUCUCUCUCAUCCCUUUUUUUUAAAUUGAAGACAGCUUACUUAACUAUAUUGUAUUCCACUCUUAAGCAUAUAAAUCUCUGUGUGUGACUGUGUGUGUGUGGUGUGUGUAUGUGUGUGUGUGGUGUGUGUAUGUGUGUAUGUGUGUGUGGUGUGUGUGUGUGUGGUGUGUGUAUGUGUGUGUGUGGUGUGUGUAUGUUUGUGUGUGUGUGGUGUGUGUGUGUAUGUGUGUGUGAUGUGUGUGUGAUGUGUGUGUGAUGUGUGUGUGAUGUGUGUGUGGGUGGUGUGUGUUUAUGUGUGUGUAUGUGUGUAUGUGUGUGUGAUCUGUGUGUGGGUGGUGUGUGUGUGUGUGUUUAUGUGUGUGUAUGUGUGUAUGUGUGUGUGAUCUGUGUGUGUGUGGUGUGUGUGUAUGUGUGUGUGAUGUGUGUGGGUGGUGUGUGUUUAUGUGUGUGUAUGUGUGUAUGUGUGUGUGUGGUGUGGGGGGGGAUGGUGUAUGUGUGUGUGUGGUAUGUGUGUAUGUGUGUGUGUGGUAUGUGUGUGGUGUGUGUGUAUGGUGUGUAUGUAUGUGUGUGUAUAUGUGUGUAUGUGUGUGAUGUGUGUGUGGUGUGUGUAUAUGUGUGUGUGUGAUGUGUGUAUGUAUGGUGUGUGUGUAUGUGUGUGUGUGAUGUGUGUGUGUAUGGUGUGUGUUUAUGUGUGUGUAUGUGUGUGUGGUGUGUGUGGGGAUGAUGUGUGUAUGUGUGUGUGUGGUGUGUGUGUAUGGUGUGUGUGUAUGUGUGUGUGUGGUGUGUAUGUGUGUGUGUGAUGUGUGUGUGUAUGGUGUGUGUUUAUGUGUGUGUAUGUGUGUGUGGUGUGUGUGGGGAUGAUGUGUGUAUGUGUGUGUAUGGUGUGUAUGUGUGUGUGUGGUGUGUAUGUAUGUGUGUGGUGUGUGUGUAUGUGUGUGAUGUGUGUAUGGUGUGUGUAUAUGUGUGUGUGUGAUGUGUGUGGUGUGUGUGCAUGUGUGUGAUGUGUGUAUGGUGUGUGUAUAUGUGUGAGUGUGUGAUGUGUGUGGUGUGUGUGUAUGUGUGUGUGGUGUGUGUAUAUGUGUGCGUGGUAUGUGUGUAUGUGUGUGUGGUGUGUGUGUAUAUGUGUGUGUGUGUGUGUGUGCAUGUGUGCAUGUGUGAAAUGGCCAGAAGAAGGUGUUGUUCCCAUGGAGCUAUACUUACCGGGGUUACAGCCCACCCAUCAUGGGUACCAGGAACCAAACUGAGGUCUUUGUGAGAGCAACAAGUGCUCUGAACUGUCUGCCCAGCGCUUAGCUUUCUUUCCAGGGCAGGCCUAAGUUUUUUAAUCCGUGAAGAUACCUUAUCAGAUCUUGAUUGUUCUGUUUGAAUAACGUGAGCAACAUUCUAGUUACCUUCUGCUGCCUAAGCGUGGCUAUCAAAUGGCCCAGUGUUUCUGCUCUAUACACUAAGAGAUUUAAAAAUCUAUACCUAUGUGGACGCUCAGAGCAGCCCUGUUCACAACAGUGUCAGAGAAGAAACAACCCAAAUGUCCAUCAACUGAUGAAUGGAUAAAUAACAAGGUAAUACAACGGAAUAUUAGUCGGCAACAAAAAAAAAAAAUCGGACUCAGCACAGACUAUGUUAUCAAUGACGGUGCAGGUGGCUGCGUGCACUGAUUCCUGUUAUAUGAACUGCCCGGAGGAGAUAAAUGUAGAGACAGAGAGUGACUUAGAAGAAGCCAAAGGGCACGGCGAGGACGUGGAUGGCUAAGAGUGGAGGGUGUGCCUUCCCUAGGAUGUUCCGAUGAGGCCGAUGGCUGCAUGGGCCAGUGAAUAUUUAAAAACCCAUCAGUCUAUAAUUUAGAGGUGUGAGGCACGGCGGGAAUUACAUUCAAAUAAUGCUUUUGAUAGUUUAUAACUAAGUUUGACCAUAAUCUAUUUUUAAAAAUUCACUAUUUUUUUUAUCUUAUAUGCACUGCUGUUUUGCCUGCCUGUAUGUCUGUGUGAAGUCAAAUUCUCUGGACCUGGAGUCACAGACAGGUUUGAACCGCCAGGUGGGUGCUAGGAAUUGAACCCAGGUCCUCCGGGAGAGCAGCCAGUGAUCCUAACUGCUGAGUCAGCUCUCAAGCGCCGACCAUAACCUACUUUUGUUUCUCUUAUACAAGGUCUCCCCGUGCUCCCAGGCUGGUCUCUAACUCCUCCCACAUCAUCCUUCUGAGCAGUUGACUGUAAAGGUGUGUGCCACCGUGACUGGCCAUGAUCUAUUUUUAACGGAUGGAACUGUGAUCUGAAGCCCUAACUUCCGGUACUCAAAAUGGGACUUCAUUUUAAAAUAGGACUAUAGGACCUUUUGGGAGGAGGUUAUUAAAUUAAAAUGAAGCCUUUAGGGCUAAGCCUCACUGUCUGGGGUCCAUAUGGCAGGAGAUUAGAAUAUACUGAGAGACACCAGCGACGUACUUGCGGAGAGGAAAUGCUAUCUUAAGGGUUUUCUACACUUUGACUGUCCUGACCAUUUUGAGACAGGGACACACAUCUGGGCACAAACUAAACCUUUGGUUCACAGCGUCUUACAUUUACAGUUUUAGUCAGCACUGCUGUGCACUUCCAUUGGUAGUCCCCAAACUCAUGCAUCCAAGUUAAUCGUUAGCUUCUUCAGUCACAAAUAGCUGGGAGUCAGUCAGUAUGAAAGUUUCUAGAGGGGCUGGGAGGUGGCCUGGUAGUUAAGCUCUUAUGGAGGACCCAAGUUUGGUUCCCAGCACCUGCAUGGUCUACAAGCUCCUGUAAGUUCAUCUUCAGGGGACCCAGCACUUCUGGACUCCACAGACAUCUACACUCAAAGCACAUAUCAUGCACACUCACAUAAUUAAAAAAUAAAAUAAAUCUGUAAAAGUGUUGAUUAAAAAAAAUGUCUCUAAAGCUAGACCAUGUUUUAGCCCUUGAAAAGUCGGCUUUUAUGAAAACAUUAUAAUUACUGUUCUGACUUAUAUAAUUACUUUUGUGUAUUAUUAGGGGCCAAAACUGCAUGCCUGUGAGGCAAGCACCCUACCCCAAGCUAUACCCUCAUCAAAAUAUAAAUGUAUUUUGAAUUUCUGAGCACUCCUCCGCCCAAAUCCCCAGAAGUGAGAUUCUCCAAAUUUAGAGGGAAAUGAUAAUUACUGAGACAUAAAAUUUUGAAGUGUUCAGUAUUGUCAAUAAUUCUCAGCAUAAAAAUCUCCCAAGCCGAGUCUCAUGCAGUAAGUAAUUCUGCUGGACUCUUUGCUCCUAGUCAAUAAAAAAAAAUGCUCCUGUCCAUAUACAUGUCUUGGAGUUUAAUGAAAACUUCAGGAAUAACAUAGAAAUAGGCACUUUUUUUUUUUAAAAAAAUCCUACAAAUCUACUUUGGAUUGUACUUUUUAAAAUGGAAUAUUUUGAAGAAAUUACAAUAAUUAACCUCUUUCUCUGGCUGUUGGGGGAAGAAAAGACUUGAGAUGGAACUGAAGCUUAACUGCAAUGAACAGAGGAGGAAGGUGUGAGCCACCAUUGAAAAAGACUUCAAGAGACGGUGGCUUGAUUCGUGGGGAAAUGAGUGUUUUGAAGGGAGAUGGCCGCUGAUCCAUAUCCAGCCGGUCAGAUAGGCUAUUAAUAAGUCCUUGUCAUAACGCUCUGGCUCUUGGCUACAGUUUCGUCUAAGCUAUGCGGUCCUUCGUCACUGUCCACUUGACUGGGUUCAGAAUCAGCAUGGAAACAUACAUCUGAGACCAUCUAGGAGAGAGCUUUUCCAGACAGUUAGCUGAGGAGGGAAGAUGCACUCUGACUGUGGGGAGCACUCUGCUUUGGGCCAGACUUCUAGGCUGCGUAAAAGGAGAAAGCCAGCCUAACAUGGCCAUCUGGGGCUCUCUGCUUCCCUAUAGCAGAUAACCAAAUGCUCCUGGUCUGUGCUUUCUCCUCCAUGAUGGGCACAUCCCUCCUCAAAUCAUGGGCUCAACAAACCCUUCCUCCAUUAGGAUGUGUCUGGUCCAGCAUCUUGUCAGAGCAAUUAAAAGAGUAACUAAUACAUGAACCAGAUAGUAAAAAUGAAUGGAAACCACUUUGGUGACAUUCAAUGUCCCAAUGGAGCACUAGUUGGAACUCUUGUGUUUGGCAAUUUUCCCAGUGGCACUUAAGAAAGGCAGAAAGCCCAAAUGUUUCUGGAUCCAAAGCCUCACCUGUACCUAUGGCUGUAGAUGGUAUUCGAAGACUCGUUUCCGAUUCCACACUCCUCUUAGACAUAACCUUGUAGAGCCCACACACCAGGAGUGGAGUCUAUGUGUGAGCUUCAUUGGUAUAUGCUUGGCCAUGUGACUUAUCAAUACAACGGUAGAGGUCAUAACACAGUCAGAAAUCCUGGAAGAGUCUGUGUGGCUUGGCUUGAUACGGUUGCGUUGGUAACAGCUCUACACUUAGGACUUCCUUAAGAAGCUGCCUUCUUCUUCCCGGGAGAGGAGGCCCUAGUCAUACCUGGAUUUGACCUGAAGCCUGUAGCCAAGCUAAAAAUCUGUGCAGCCCUGUGAUGGAAAGGGUCAUCGUGCCUACAGUUGGAACCCAUUGAGGUUUGGAACCUUCUCUUUAAGCGUAAUGUUACUGCGGCAACAGCUAAUUAGUACAACUGCUGACCUAUACUCUCAAAGUAUGGUCCCUAGACAUUUGCAUCCAAACUAUCUAAUGAUCAUUAAAAAUUGAGAAGGAGGAGGAGGAGGAGGAAGAAGAGGAGGAGGAGCAGGAAAGGACAUGGCUCAGUCAGUGGCAGUGCUUCCUGUACAAACAUGGCGACCUGUGUUGAUUCUUAAGGCCCACAUUAAAAAAAAAAAAAAAAAUUCAGGCACUGUAGUGAGUGCCCUGGGGAAUCUCAGCCCGGUGGGGAGUGGCAAUCAGAAGGCCCUUAAGGCUUCCUGGCCAGCCAGUCUAGCUGAAUCAGCCAGCUGCAGGUUCAGUGAGAAACUCUGUCAAACACAAAAUAAAGUGUAGCAAAGUUAAGGGAGACUGCCAGCAUUGAUCUCUGGCCUCUGCACAUUCACACGUGCAAAACACCCACCCACACAAAAUGAGCUUCCGGGUCACAAACACCGACUAAGCAGCUUGAACUGAUUGGAGAAUGCCUUAAAGUAGAGUGGUGUGGUAGCCUCUAAUCCCAGCACGCAGGGAGCUGAGACAAGUUUGGACAUUCGAGUCCAUCUGGGCUACACAGGGAGACUGCUCCUCAAAAAAUUCGUCUACCAAGUUAAUACAGAAGCAGUCCCAGCUCUAGACCUUGAGAAAUCUCCCUGCUGUUCAUUAAAACACGGGAAGAUGUAAAGUGGCUGUAACACGGAGUCCGUGGAAGUAACAAAAGUAUCCAUCCACAGAAGCAAGGUUAACUAACUGAAGGAUGAGGUCUCUGGGAUCCUCCUUGUCCUUUGUGAAGAAGGUGAAACCGUGCAGACUGGGCAAGUUCUCUGUGAAGCGUUGUUAGGCGUUCUGAUGUCAGAAGUAGCUCUGAUAUGCAAAUUCAGAAGGGCCUCGGAGACACCAACAACAAAACAGAUGUCUUCAGGAGAGAUGGUGGUAGGAGAGGCCAUGUUACUUCAACUGUAGUGUUUGCUGUUUCUACACCACUAAUUUGCAGUGCAAAGGAACAUUUUGGGUAUUUAAAAGUGUGGGUUUUUUUUCCCCCCUGGGUGGGGGGAGGGGAGAGGUUACUCCUCCAAUCAGAAGAACUCAUCAAUCUACAUCUAACUAAAGUCUGACUUGAUUGACAGCUCCUGAGGGAGCAGCUAGCCAGGGCAAACGUGAUAAACCUGAGCAUGUCAGGACAGAAGGCAUGCAUCAUGGGCCUGCCUACCCCUGUGAACAGGGACAGAUGAUGUCUAAGGUGAUCCCUCUCAGUGGUUGUCUUAGAGAUAGUAUUGACUCUCUAAGAUAAUUCGUGGUAUGGAUAGAAUACCAUGACUAAAGCAUCUUGGGGAGGAACUUGAACUAGGCAGGAAUCCGGAGGCAGGAGCUGAUGCAGACGCCAUGGAGGAGUGCUGCUUACUGGCUUGCUCCUCAAGGCUUGCUCAGCCUGCUUUCUUAUAGAAUCCACAUUCCCAGCCCAGGAUGGGCCGAUCCACAAUGAGAGGGGCCCUCUCGCACCAGUCACUAGUUAAGAAACUGUCCCAAGGCUUGCUAUAGCCACAUCUUAUGGAGUUGUUUACUCAAUUCACGCUCCUUCCCGUCAGAUGUAGCCAUCUGGGUCAAGUUGACAUAAAGCUACGUAGCACGGAGGUUUUGGUUUUAAGAAAGGAAAGUGGGAUCUAGAGCCCCUAGCUCCCUAGGGAAGGUAUCUUAAUGAUGUCUAGAAUGGCCUCUUAUCCCACCCUUGAGAAGUGUGUCAGGAUCUUAAGGGGAGUGAGAAGAGGUGCAUGCCCUAGCUACAUUUAUCCAAAGAGCUCCUGAAAAGUGAGUAGGGCACCUAAAGAAUGGCCAUUCCAGAGGCAGGACUCCCUAUGCUACUCAGUUUGGUGACAUGGUGUCAAAAAAAAAAAAAAAAAAAAAGUUGAGGCGAGGACAGAAGAGGGCCAGUCAGGGUUGCCCAUGUAACUUUUGACAUUCCAUCUAUAAAAUCAGGAUCUUUCCCUAAGCUUCCGUCCCCAUGUCCUACAUGUCUGUGAUCCUCUGGGACUUUCCUCAUGGACAGGCUCAUCAGAAUCAGCAGGGCAGAAUCUCCUUGAAGUCCUUAGUUUUGAUCCAACCCAAAGCCCCUGCAGUCUCAAGGACUCAGGUGUUUCCUGAGUCCCCAGAUCAGCGUCACAGCUACUCCCAGGAGCCCAUCACAGACCACCCGGCCAGUUUUCCCAGGGACUUGCUUGUGCAGGAGUUAAGGCAUGCUGACCCUGUCUGGCUUGACUUGGAUGGCUUUUCCAAAAGUUGAAGGCCAUGGCUGACGCAGUCAUUGGCCGUCACCAGAGUGGCAUCGUAUUCCCCAUUUCAACAAGGGAUGACUGUUGUGAGAGUUGCUUCCUCAGGUUAGGGCUUAGGACGGGAAGGGGCCACGCCUGGACAUGGAAUAUUCUGCUGACACGAGUUUUCUGUGGGAGGAAGGGAGAGGGCACGAGGGCAAGAGCGCAGCUUGCUAUGCACUUCGGUUUAUGUUGCCCUCCUCCCAGGUCCAUAUGCUGAACUCCUCACUCCAGUGUGAGCAUUAGAAGGUGUGGGUGUUGGGAGGUGACUGGAUCAUGAAAGCAGACCCUCACGAUGAGGGCUUAUGUAGCACACUGCUAUGAUCUUCCACAGCUCUGCCAUGUGAGAGCACAGCAAGGUCGCUCUUGGAUUACAGAGAUGGUUCAGCAGUCAAGUGUUCUCUCCCAGGUUCGAUUCCCAGCACCACAUGGCAGCUUACAGCCCCCAGUGACUCCAGGCCCAGGCAUUGCAAUGUUCCCUUUUUGCCUCCACAGACACAAGGCACAUAAAUACUACACAGACAGACAGGAAGGCAAGAUGUCCCCUAUAGACUCACUCAUUGGAACGCUUGGUCACCAGGUGGUAGUGCUGUCUGAGGAGGCUUAGAGAUGCGGCCCUACAGGAGAACUAGGUCAGGGGAAGGGCUGUGAGGAUUAAAAGACAGUUUGCUCUCUGUUUCCUGCUGUCCUGAUUCCUGUCGUGACAGACUCAGCCCUCUAGAACCAUAAGCCAGAAUAAAUUAUUCACUCCUCAGGUUGUCUUGGUCCUGGUGCUUUCUCACAGCAAUUGGAAAGCACUAAGGCAACCACGCACAUAAAACAAAAAUAAUUAAAAACUCAAGAAGAUGGCUGUCUAUGGUGGACCAUGUUGGUGGCAGAGACUCAUAGAGCCAAACCAGUUAAUGCCUCCAUCUUGGAUUUCCCAGCCUUUAGACCUGUGAGAGACAGUCCAUAGUCUUCUGUUGUAGCAGCCAGAAGAUGUGCGUUCAGAGCCAAGCUCCCAGCCUCCUGUCCAAAACAGCCUGACUCGGGAGGUCUCAGGAAGACCCUGGCCAGUCUUCAUAAGGACUCUUAUAGGUGAUCCCAAGGUAGACCUGGGGUCCGUGGUUUUAGGGUUAGCUUGGUGCUCUCUUUUCAGUAAAGCUCGGGAUAGACCAGGGGAGUCAGUGCAUGAAAAUGUACUUUAUUUUAAUUUAGCUUUUCAGAGCCUUUCCUUCCUAUGACCCAAGCUUAGUCCACAGAGGGAGAGAGAGGUAUGGGAGCCAGGUAGGGGAGGGGAGUUGGGGGUGGACACUGGGACAUUUGGGCACUGAGCAGUCACUAACCUGGGGGUCUCUGGAGCUGGAUGAGCCCCAGGCCCAGGGCCCCAGACUAACUGCCAGCCGACAUCUGCAGGCAAGAUUGUCAUGGGGAAUUCUUACAUGCUGGCACAAUGCAGCUAACAUCUCAGCGCCGUCUGCCUGAGGGAGCUGUUAGCUAUUUUUGACCCGGAGCCGUAGAACCUUGCAGCCGUAGAUGGGUAUCCCCAGGUAACACACAUACACAAGCUCUCUCCUGAGAAGCCCGAAGUCAGGAGUGUCUCCUGGUUCAGCUAAGGGUGAGGCAUCAACAUGAAAAUCUCUCGAAUCGAGCGCUCCAGAUGUCCUUGUCCAGUCUAGUGCUUUAAUUGGAGACCACAGCAAUUCCAACAGUAAGGGGUGACAGCAUUUUUUGCCAGGCAAACAGUUCCAGAAAGUCUUAUGUUAAGCACCAAAUCCAAUGUCGUGGUUCCAAUCAAUUUAGGAAACAACAACAACAGAAAAUCCACAAUUUAUUUGCAUCUCUGGGACUCAGAACUUUUGGCCAAAAAUGUGCCCUUUGAUUUUUGAUCCCUUUAAUGUGAAGCAUUCUCAAGAUGCAUUUCCAUUUUAGAAGAAGAAGGGAGAAAAAAGGGAACCGAUGCUGGCAUAAAACUCUGUGUGGAAGGAAACUCGAUGGCAUCUGAAGAUUCCAGUCCUUGGAUUGAGGUCAGUGUAGUUCUGAGGGUCUAAAGUGUGCCAAAUUCCCAUACUUGGGGAACUGGAAGCCAGGAGAAAAACUCUAGGACCCAGACUAACAUCGUAGCCCCUUCAGAUGACCUUCAGAUGCUCUUAGAAGGCAGCCGUUGCUUGAUGUGAGGUCCCGAAGGAUGGAGAAGCCUUUCCAGAAGAGGGCAGAGUACAUCAUGUCUGGGGUUGUGCGCCAUUUUUCUGGGGCCAGGAGCGAGCGUGGGAUGGUGGCACAGAGAGAGUGGGGCCAGCCAUUGUGAAUGGAGCCCCCUUACAUUAGCUCACAGGAGCUGACUCAGCUGGUUUCAAAGGAAGUGUUCAGGCAGCGUGACUGACAUCCCGACGAUGUGAGACCAUGGGCAGGAGGCGUCCGGGGCUUGUGCUCCAGACACGGAUUCUUUCUGCAGAUUUUUGUAUUUACUCUGCCAUGGGACCUCUGCCUCCAGCUCCAUUGUCAACUGUCUGUUCAGUCUCUGUGUUCUUGGUCCCAGCUUAAGGGAGGUCAUACAAUGGCCAGUGGCCAAUGGCUGGCUUCCCUGCGGCCAGACUCUACCCUCCCUCAUACACCAGCUCUUUCUGCAAAGCUGCGUAACACGGUAAACCAUGACUGGGCCUACCCUGCUGAGUUAAAAAGUAGAAGCUGGGUGAGCUCCUUCCGGUAGUGAGGGCCGGAAGAGGAUGACGCCAUGAGCCUUGUAACUCUCGAGUCUUCUCGAUAAAAGGUGAGGUUGGAAGUGAAGGGCAGGCCAUCAUUGGACUUCUACCCCGCCAAGCCCUUUCUAAGUACUGUCGGGUGAUGUCUUUCUAAGUAAAGGAGCCUCGCUGAACCUUGUUCAUCUCCUCUCAUCAUCCUUGUUCUUUCUCUUGAUCUCCUACCUACCCCACCCCAUCCCACCCACCCCUCACCCCAACCCCACCCCACCCCCAUCCCACCACACCCCACCCU
ensembl:lncRNA